ACUCGCUAUCUGCCGGUUGAAACAGGGAGUUUAAAGUUCAAUAUAUGCAGCAAUACUGUGUGACUCAGAUCCCCUGGUAAGAACUAAGUAUUGACAUGUAUUUCAGUGCAUCUGGUGCUGGAAUACUGGUGAAUCUGAACAGAAGGGUCAGCUCCUGUUGUUUGUCACAAAGUUUAAAUCAUUUGAGCACACUUGAUACUUGGAUUUGAACUGACUCUGUGACUGUUCCUCAGGCUUGCUUUAAGCAGUAUUUCAGCAUUAUAAAAACCAAAGGCACUAUGACUAAGACACAGCAUACUUUGGAGAAAAAGAUACUUUACAAGAACUUCUUGUAAGCAAAUUAUUUAUAUUCUGUUAGCAGAAUGGGAUAUUUGUCUGUCUAAGCAGAUUGGCCAUGAAAAGAUCUGAUUUCUGCCCAGUGCUGGCUAAGCAGCAUGAUCAUACAGGUUAAUCCUGAUUAUAUCCUAAAACUAAUAACUGUAUUUUAUUUUGACCUCCACUGCAUUGAUCUGCUGGGUCACUAAGAUGACCCUGAUGAUAAUCAUGAGGUGAUACCAUGUACACCCCAUAAGCUGCCCAGCAUCUGCGAUAACCCAGGGAGGAAUAACAGUGGCUGCACCCUGACUUAGUACUAAACCAAAACACCUUGGCAAGAGGUUGGUUGUGGUUUUUUUUUUCCUCUGUUCUGGCAAACUGGAAGAAGUAAUAUCAAAAUAAAUUUCUUACUGGGCAUUUGAACAGAACUGGUGCAAUAAAUGGAUGAAAUCCUGUACCACUACAAAAGCACCCGUUAUCUCUUACUGAGCCUGGUGAUUUCCAUCUGGUAAAAAGUUACUUUGACUGUUACAUUUAUAUUUGCAUAAAUUAUGUUAGGUUAGCAGUUAUGAAAAUAAGGCUUAUACAAUGCUAGAACUCUUUGGUGAUAGUAAAAAAAUCUGAAAACAACCCAAAACCCCCACACCUUACUCUGAACCUGCAGAGACAGGAUCCCAGGCACUACUUAAACUACUCCAAGCAGUAUUUUGACUAAAAUCCUGAAACAGACAGCACUUGUGGUUGGUUUCUAAUGGUUUAUGAACAAACCAAUACAAUUAACAACAUGCAUGACAUUUCAGGCCCAGAGGGAGGGAAGCAUCCUCCAGUUCCAUCAUGGGGAACUGCAUUGCCACAAAUGAAGCAAGCAUGUUGGAUAAAGAGCUUUCGGAUCUUUAUUUGCAAGUCAGAAGCUGACCACAAGAGACAGUCGUGCUGCAGCAGGAGAUGAACAAUGUAAACUAUGGGGCCAGUGUUAAUUCCAGUUUUCUGUGUCUAUACACCAGAUUAAUAAAAAUUGAGAAUAUAUGGUA